CCAAAACUGCAAAAUGUCGUCUGCUCACGAUCACAUCGUCGUCUUCAAAAACAAAUGAUGUUUUCACCACGAAACAUUUCAUAUGGUGAGUUUUGGAUCUGGUUUUUGAACUUAUCUGUGGAAUGAAUCCGCAUCAAGCAAUCAAGGGUACCUGGGUGAAGAAUCAUCAGUUUGGACCACACCCCACCUCCUGAAAUAUGACGAACACUCUUGAAAGGAUGGCAUGCCUUAGAAGAAGUGAUGUGGCAUCUUAAUUCAAGAGAGCCCAUGAGAUGCAGCAUCAUCAUGAAUUCAAACCAUCUUCCCAUUGCCUCAAGCUACUUCAGUUCAACUUGUUUGUUUAUUCAAAACCAUGAUAAGAAGAACACUCAAGAUGAUAAGCCUUGUCAUGAAAGAUGCAUCAGCUUGACUGAAGAGAGCCCAUAAGAUGCAGCAUCAUCAUGAAUUCCAAUACGUCAUCUUCUCAGCAUCUCAAGCUUCCUCAGUUCAACUUUGUUAGUUAUUCGCGGAAAACAUUAUAGUGGAUAUUAAGGUACGUCUCAAGUAGUGAAUUUUACCUAUUGUAAAAAGAUCUGUUUACAUAGACUCUUAGACACCACUUAGAAAAGAGUCCUUGUUGUUUAACACUUUGUAAACAAAACUUACAAAGCUGUAGCAUUAAAAAUUGUCCUUUAUUUCGUAAACAGAUCUUUGUUGUCUUAUACACUCAUACAUGGACAGCACGUAGAGAGGUUUAUUUAUUGUAAAAAGGUCUGUUUACAUGGACUCUUAUAAAACCACUCGGACAUCAGUCUUUACUGUUUACAACUGAAACAAAGUUGUUAUUUAUUUCAAAAGCUAUGAACUUAAUUCAAAGCACAGUGUACUACAUAAACAGAUCUUUACACGUACAGCCCUAUGUGACUGUUUUUGUUAUGAAGUAAAAACUUUGCUGAAUAUUGUUGUGUACAUUUUGUAGCUCCGUUGAAUCAUCAGGCCUGAUACUUUGCAGAGACAAGUUACGCAGCAAUUGCCUCCAUGCACACAGCCUUGGUCAUUGCCUUGGUGCCCAUUGAAAUGUUCUGGUACUAAUUCAAAUUUCCCUCAGACUCUGGCAUUUUACUGAGAAAAAGCUGCCUUGCCCUUACAAGAAUGAAGCAUUAGGUCUGAAGAAUGGGUAAUGAAAUGCAGAAAACAAAGGGCUACUAGCUACGACUAACAUUUUGUACUGAAUACCAAAGCAGUGUAGUGAACAAUCAUGCAACAUAUAGGCUAACAUGUACAGUUUUAAAACAUAACUUUAUACAGAUGUCAGAGUUUGAAACAUGUUUUAAAUACUUAGUUUGAUAUUUAUAUGUGGUAAAUGUGAUGUAUUUGUAUCACGCGUGAUUAUAUUUAUCUGCAAAACAUUGUACGAACCGAGCAGGGCCUUCGGUUUUAACGGUAAUCCAAAUAUAUGGAAACUUGGAGUGAACAUCUGCAUUUCCAUAAAGUUUAAUGCUUACUUUUGAAAGUACAGUACCGUAUCUUUUUACCAUUUUAUCUUGAAAACUAGAUUUCGCAAAUCUAUGAGGACCCCAAAAUUAAUAGUUAUACAUUUUUUUAAUGAUUUUCUGAUGUAUUUAACAUGGAAACUUGGCAAUGCAGAUGGCCUUCUAAGCUUCCAUACAAUUUUUGCACCAUCUUUUGAAGUCUGGUUCCAAGUCUCUUAGUGCUUAUACAACACGUAUUCUUAAUGUAGGUGCCAGACUAAUUUCUUCACACACUUGUUUUGAUUUCUACUAUAUGUAUACACUUAGCUGAUAAGUUAUCAAGGUUAUGUGUGUAAAUGCCCCUUUUAAACAACAGGUUUUAAACUGCCAGCUUCGUAAUUCACAGUUAAGCUGAGCAUAGUUACUUUAUAAUACUUAAAAUAGGAAGUUUGAAGGUUAGAAGUCACGAACGUGUGUUCUGUGCAUUUAAAUUGUUAUAAAAAGAAAGCACCUACAACUUACGCUAAGUGCCAACUUAGAGUAAUUUUAAGCAAUAUUUAUUAAAACGACACUUUCCUGUUAGUUUGUUUGUCACCAGAAUGUCUAUUACAUGUAGAAUGUCAACAGGGAUACCCUGGAGUGUAUCACGCACUGUUUUAAGGGUGUUUUAAAUGUUUUUACUCUCAAUUUUGGUAAUUUUCAGUGAUUUUCAAGUUUUUUUCCCAAAA